rnacentral:rRNA from 1 species
AUUGAACGCUGGCGGCAGGCCUAACACAUGCAAGUCGAGCGGAGCGGCGGACGGGUGAGUAAUGCCUAGGAAUCUGCCUGGUAGUGGGGGAUAACGUCCGGAAACGGGCGCUAAUACCGCAUCAUAUGAGAUGAGGCUAGGUCGGAUUAGGUAGAUGGUGGGGUAAAGGCCUACCAGGGGGACGAUCCGGAACUGGGCUGAGAGGAUGAUCAGGCACACUGGAAUGGGUACACGGUCCAUACUCCUACGGGAGCUAGCAGUGGUGAAUAUUGGACAAUGGGCGAAAGCCUGAUCCAGCCAUGCCGCGUGUGUGAAGAAUGCCUUCAGGUUGUAAAGUACUUUCAGCGGGGAGGCGUUACCCGCAGAAGAAGCACCGGCUAACUCCGUGCCAGCAGCCGCGGUAAUAC